AAAAGGUCAGUCAAUGUGUAACGUGGAGAUUGGAAUGAAAAUCAAAAAUAAAUUCUAAAUUAACGUGGAAAACGCACGCCUCGUGAAUGUUAGCUCAUACCAACCUCGGUCGUCCACCACCAUGAGGCAUCGCGCUGGAAAUCGUUUUCGGCGGUGAUAGCCACCAAGAAUUAAAAUUGAAUACACCCUUAGCUUCCUCUCAACCUCCUCAUCUCAAAUAUGCUAACAAUUUCACCUAAUUCUUGUUUUAACACCGAAACAUAAAACCAUCGUCCAAGAACCGUAGAAACCCAACCUUAAAUUAAACCCUAGAUAUGCAAAUUCAAAGCCCACGGGGUUGGGGCUUUGAAUCUUCUCCGAAAACUCUACAUUAUAACUACUGGAAUUGAAGAAAAGAGAUAAGCAAGAGACUCACUGUGGUCGGAGAUUUCGAAUGUGGAGACGAUGAAUUCAGGUUGCACUGCCUAAAUGUUCAUGGUCCAUUGCUGCAAACUCAUGGCAUGAUCUUGGCCUGCAACGUGUUGUUGCAAGUUUGCUCAUACUCACGGUCCAUAAUUUGGCACUAUUGAUUGUUAUGAUGUGCUUCAAGUUGAUCUAAGGACUGCAUUGCGAUUCUGCAAUCUUGUAUUCAUGUUGCAGAAUGGUUGCAACUUGUUCUGACUUUGAUUUCAUGGCAUGAUGCUUCAAGUUUCAUUGCAUUACCUUGAUGUGGUCCUGUUUAUACUGAUGGAUUAAUAUACUGCAUUGUGUAUGUUCUUGAAUAUGCAUGUUGAUUGUGUUUAUAUGGGUUGUUAUGCAUGCUAAUGUAUGGUGUGAACAAAUUGGUUUGGUCAUGUGUUUGAUUGCAUUGUCCCAUUGAUUACUUGCUUCAUGUUAAGCCUAUAUGUAGAUGCUUAGAAUUGUGGUGGUUUUUGUUGUGAAUACAA